rnacentral:rRNA from 1 species
GACGAACGCUGGCGGCGUGCUUAACACAUGCAAGUCGAACGGAAAGGCCCUGCUUGCAGUGUACUCGAGUGGCGAACGGGUGAGUAACACGUGGGUGAUCUGCCUUGCACUUCGGGAUAAGCCUGGUAAACUGGGUCUAAUACCGGAUAGGAGCCAUUUUUAGUGUGAUGGUUGGAAAGUUUUUUCGGUGUAGGAUGAGCUCGCGGCCUAUCAGCUUGUUGGUGGGGUAAUGGCCUACCAAGGCGGCGACGGGUAGCCGGCCUGAGAGGGUGGACGGCCACAUUGGGACUGAGAUACGGCCCAGACUCCUACGGGAGGCAGCAGUGGGGAAUAUUGCACAAUGGGCGCAAGCCUGAUGCAGCGACGCCGCGUGGGGGAUGACGGCCUUCGGGUUGUAAACUCCUUUCGCUAGGGACGAAGCUUUUUGUGACGGUACCUAGAUAAGAAGCACCGGCUAACUACGUG